rnacentral:rRNA from 1 species
AGCGAACGCUGGCGGCAGGCUUAACACAUGCAAGUCGAGCGGGCAUAGCAAUAUGUCAGCGGCAGACGGGUGAGUAACGCGUGGGAACGUACCUUUUGGUUCGGAACAACUGAGGGAAACUUCAGCUAAUACCGGAUAAGCCCUUACGGGGAAAGAUUUAUCGCCGAAAGAUCGGCCCGCGUCUGAUUAGCAAGUUGGUAGGGCAAUGGCCUACCAAGGCGACGAUCAGUAGCUGGUCUGAGAGGAUGAUCAGCCACAUUGGGACUGAGACACGGCCCAAACUCCUACGGGAGGCAGCAGUGGGGAAUAUUGGACAAUGGGGGCAACCCUGAUCCAGCCAUGCCGCGUGAGUGAUGAAGGCCCUAGGGUUGUAAAGCUCUUUUGUGCGGGAAGAUAAUGACGGUACCGCAAGAAUAAGCCCCGGCUAACUUCGUGCCAGCCGCCGCCGUAA